ACUGUUUGAGGUGGUAAAAUACGUUGCAACCACGCACCCUAUGGGUCAAAAGAGAUGCAGGAGAGGUGACUCCUGCCAGAUAGU
ncrna:unclassified sequences skipping-rope RNA